rnacentral:rRNA from 3 species
GGUUAAGCGACUAAGCGUACACGGUGGAUGCCCUGGCAGUCAGAGGCGAUGAAGGGCGUGCUAAUCUGCGAUAAGCGCCGGUAAGGUGAUAUGAACCGUUAUAACCGGCGAUACCCGAAUGGGGAAACCCAGUGUGAUUCGUCACACUAUCAUUAACUGAAUCCAUAGGUUAAUGAGGCGAACCGGGGGAACUGAAACAUCUAAGUACCCCGAGGAAAAGAAAUCAACCGAGAUUCCCCCAGUAGCGGCGAGCGAACGGGGAGGAGCCCAGAGCCUGAAUCAGCAUGUGUGUUAGUGGAAGCGUCUGGAAAGGCGCGCGAUACAGGGUGACAGCCCCGUACACAAAAGCGCAUGUGCUGUGAGCUCGAUGAGUAGGGCGGGACACGUGGUAUCCUGUCUGAAUAUGGGGGGACCAUCCUCCAAGGCUAAAUACUCCUGACUGACCGAUAGUGAACCAGUACCGUGAGGGAAAGGCGAAAAGAACCCCGGCGAGGGGAGUGAAAAAGAACCUGAAACCGUGUACGUACAAGCAGUGGGAGCACAGGUUUACCUGUGUGACUGCGUACCUUUUGUAUAAUGGGUCAGCGACUUAUAUUCUGUAGCAAGGUUAACCGUAUAGGGGAGCCGGAGGGAAACCGAGUCUUAAUUGGGCGUUAAGUUGCAGGGUAUAGACCCGAAACCCGGUGAUCUAGCCAUGGGCAGGUUGAAGGUUGGGUAACACUAACUGGAGGACCGAACCGACUAAUGUUGAAAAAUUAGCGGAUGACCUGUGGCUGGGGGUGAAAGGCCAAUCAAACCGGGAGAUAGCUGGUUCUCCCCGAAAGCUAUUUAGGUAGCGCCUCGUGAAUUCAUCUCCGGGGGUAGAGCACUGUUUCGGCUAGGGGGCCAUCCCGGCUUACCAACCCGAUGCAAACUGCGAAUACCGGAGAAUGUUAUCACGGGAGACACACGGCGGGUGCUAACGUCCGUCGUGAAGAGGGAAACAACCCAGACCGCCAGCUAAGGUCCCAAAGUCAUGGUUAAGUGGGAAACGAUGUGGGAAGGCCCAGACAGCCAGGAUGUUGGCUUAGAAGCAGCCAUCAUUUAAAGAAAGCGUAAUAGCUCACUGGUCGAGUCGGCCUGCGCGGAAGAUGUAACGGGGCUAAACCAUGCACCGAAGCUGCGGCAGCGAACGUAUCACCCAAGACAACUUUACGGAGUUGACGAUUGACGGAGCGAAGCGACGUCAAAGCGUUCAUUAAAGUCGAGUUGGCUUAGGGAUACGUUCGUUGGGUAGGGGAGCGUUCUGUAAGCCUGUGAAGGUGUGUCGUGAGGCAUGCUGGAGGUAUCAGAAGUGCGAAUGCUGACAUAAGUAACGAUAAAGCGGGUGAAAAGCCCGCUCGCCGGAAGACCAAGGGUUCCUGUCCAACGUUAAUCGGGGCAGGGUGAGUCGACCCCUAAGGCGAGGCCGAAAGGCGUAGUCGAUGGGAAACGGGUUAAUAUUCCCGUACUUGGUGUUACUGCGAAGGGGGGACGGAGAAGGCUAUGUUGGCCGGGCGACGGUUGUCCCGGUUUAAGCGUGUAGGUGUGUGUUCCAGGUAAAUCCGGUUCACUUUAACACUGAGGCGUGACGACGAGGCACUACGGUGCUGAAGCAACAAAUGCCCUGCUUCCAGGAAAAGCCUCUAAGCAUCAGGUAACACGAAAUCGUACCCCAAACCGACACAGGUGGUCAGGUAGAGAAUACCAAGGCGCUUGAGAGAACUCGGGUGAAGGAACUAGGCAAAAUGGUGCCGUAACUUCGGGAGAAGGCACGCUGACACGUAGGUGAAGUGAUUUACUCAUGGAGCUGAAGUCAGUCGAAGAUACCAGCUGGCUGCAACUGUUUAUUAAAAACACAGCACUGUGCAAACACGAAAGUGGACGUAUACGGUGUGACGCCUGCCCGGUGCCGGAAGGUUAAUUGAUGGGGUCAGCGUAAGCGAAGCUCCUGAUCGAAGCCCCGGUAAACGGCGGCCGUAACUAUAACGGUCCUAAGGUAGCGAAAUUCCUUGUCGGGUAAGUUCCGACCUGCACGAAUGGCGUAAUGAUGGCCAGGCUGUCUCCACCCGAGACUCAGUGAAAUUGAACUCGCUGUGAAGAUGCAGUGUACCCGCGGCAAGACGGAAAGACCCCGUGAACCUUUACUAUAGCUUGACACUGAACAUUGAGCCUUGAUGUGUAGGAUAGGUGGGAGGCUUUGAAGUGUGGACGCCAGUCUGCAUGGAGCCGACCUUGAAAUACCACCCUUUAAUGUUUGAUGUUCUAACGUGGACCCGUAAUCCGGGUUGCGGACAGUGUCUGGUGGGUAGUUUGACUGGGGCGGUCUCCUCCUAAAGAGUAACGGAGGAGCACGAAGGUUGGCUAAUCCUGGUCGGACAUCAGGAGGUUAGUGCAAUGGCAUAAGCCAGCUUGACUGCGAGCGUGACGGCGCGAGCAGGUGCGAAAGCAGGUCAUAGUGAUCCGGUGGUUCUGAAUGGAAGGGCCAUCGCUCAACGGAUAAAAGGUACUCCGGGGAUAACAGGCUGAUACCGCCCAAGAGUUCAUAUCGACGGCGGUGUUUGGCACCUCGAUGUCGGCUCAUCACAUCCUGGGGCUGAAGUAGGUCCCAAGGGUAUGGCUGUUCGCCAUUUAAAGUGGUACGCGAGCUGGGUUUAGAACGUCGUGAGACAGUUCGGUCCCUAUCUGCCGUGGGCGCUGGAGAACUGAGGGGGGCUGCUCCUAGUACGAGAGGACCGGAGUGGACGCAUCACUGGUGUUCGGGUUGUCAUGCCAAUGGCACUGCCCGGUAGCUAAAUGCGGAAGAGAUAAGUGCUGAAAGCAUCUAAGCACGAAACUUGCCCCGAGAUGAGUUCUCCCUGAGACUUAGAGUCUCCUGAAGGAACGUUGAAGACGACGACGUUGAUAGGCCGGGUGUGUAAGCGCAGCGAUGCGUUGAGCUAACCGGUACUAAUGAACCGUGAGGCUUAACCUU